rnacentral:sRNA from 1 species
GGUUUUAUAUCAGCUAGUCACUUGGUUUACCGGCCAGAGAAAUUUAAGCGAUUUUGAGGAGUUUAGCUUUUGUUUUACUGCACAGACUAUCUGGUUGCAUCUUGUACAACGCAUGCCAAUCACUCAUUUGCGUUGAAAUGAUAUUUCCAUGCGGUGUUAACUCUUUAUCUGUAAUUUCUGUCUGAUUGUCAUGGUGACUGUCAAAUGCAACCUUCUAUAGCUUUCCAUGAACCAGAUGCCCUUUGAUCUAUACAAACAUAACAUCGCUAUUGUGAACC